AUGGAGGCAGCAGUGGUGAGCGUGUCGCAUGGCGCCAUUGGCUUCAUGAUUGCGAAGCUUGGUGAUCUGCUCGCUGGCAAGUACAAGCUGCUGAAACAGGCCAAAGGCGAGAUAAUGUUCCUUAAAGCUGAGCUCGAGAGUAUGCGAGCAUUCCUGGAGAGGAUGUCGGAGGCGGAGGAGGAGCCCGACAAGCAAGCCAAGUGCUGGGCAAACGAGGUGCGUGAUCUGUCCUAUGACAUCGAGGACAGCGUCGAUGAGUUCAUGCUCCUGGUGGAAGGUGAGUCCAACGGCGAGCCCCAUGGGUUUAAGGGGUUCAUUCAUAGGAGCAUGAACUUGUUGACGACGAUGAACACUCGGCAAAAGGUCGGCAAGGAGUUCCAAGGCCUCAAGAGCCGUGUCAUGGAGGUGAGCGAGCGACGCAUGAGGUACAAGAUUGAUGAUGCUGUCUCAAAGCCAAACAAUACAACCAUAGACAUUCGCAUGCUGGCACUCUAUGCGGACACAUCGGGCCUUGUGGGUAUCGAUGGCCUGAGGGAUGAAUUAAUACACCUGAUGGUGGGUGAAGAGGGUGUUUCUGCACAACAGAGGAAGGUCCUCUCUAUAGAGGGAUUUGGAGGGCUUGGUAAGACUACACUUGCGAACCAGAUUUACCACAGGCUAAAGUGGCAGUACGAGUGUCAGGCUUUCGUUUCCGUGUCCCAGAAACCAAACAUACGAAUGAUUCUGAGAAGAAUGCUCUCUCAAGUUGGCUAUGUAGCGCUGGAGGGAACCAACAUGGAAAUAUGGGCAGAGGAUGAAAUGAUCAGUGCACUCAGACAAUUCCUUAUGGAUAAGAGGUACUUGAUUGUAAUUGAUGACAUUUGGGAUGAAACUACGUGGAAUGUUAUUAGAUGUGCUCUUCCUGAAAAUAUAUAUGUACGGUAG
rnacentral:rRNA from 1 species